rnacentral:rRNA from 1 species
GACGAACGCUGGCGGCGUGCCUAGUACAUGCAAGUUGAGCGCUGAAGGUUGGUACUUGUACCGACUGGAUGAGCAGCGAACGGGUGAGUAACGCGUGGGGAAUCUGCCUUUGAGCGGGGGACAACAUUUGGAAACGAAUGCUAAUACCGCAUAAAAACUUUAAACACAAGUUUUAAGUUUGAAAGAUGCAAUUGCAUCACUCAAAGAUGAUCCCGCGUUGUAUUAGCUAGUUGGUGAGGUAAAGGCUCACCAAGGCGAUGAUACAUAGCCGACCUGAGAGGGGGAUCCGCCACAUUGGGACUGAGACACCGCCCAAACUCCUACGGGAGGCAGCAGUAGGGAAUCUUCGGCAAUAGACGAAAGUCUGACCGAGCAACGCCGCGUGAGUGAAGAAGGUUUUCGGAUCGUAAAACUCUGUUGGUAGAGAAGAACGUUGGUGAGAGUGGAAAGCUCAUCAAGUGACGGUAACUACCCAGAAAGGGACGGCUAACUACGUG